rnacentral:rRNA from 1 species
CCAGCAGCUGCGGUAAUUCCAGCUCCAAUAGCGUAUAUUAAUGCUGCUGCAGUUGAAACGCUCGUAGUUGGACUUCUGGAUGAGUUGCUUGGUCGGCCUUUGGCUGUACCUUGCAGCUUGUCCUUUUGUCCAAGGAAGGCUUGCGCAAGUGAGUCUGACUUGGGCCAGUUACUUUGAGAAAAUUAGGGUGUUCAAAGCAGGCGUUUGCCUUGAAUACGUUAGCAUGGAAUAACGGAAUAGGACUUUGGUUCUAUUUUGUUGGUUGCUAGGACCGAAGUAAUGAUUAAUAGGGACAGUUGGGGGGCAUUCAUAUUUAAUUGUCAGAGGUGAAAUUCUUGGAUUUAUUAAAG